UAUGCCUUUUUCAGAAUAUAUUUCACCAAUUUUAAGAAGUCCCUGACAUCAAAACAGUAAAUAUUGUUGUCUCUGUGUCAGAUGGCUUAUUUUGUUCCUGGACUCUUCAGUGAUGAUGAGCAGAGUCUGAGUGAACCUGCUGUCAGACAAUCACUAUUGCACACCAAAUGCUCUUACUCAGCAGAUGGGGACAGCUACCAUCACCCAAUUUUCACCCAAAAGUGGCUGCGCUAUGCGCCAGACCGGGCAGGAGGGACUGGACGACAACUUAUGCAGGCAUCAGAUGACAAUGAAGUGUAAAUAAAGAGUAGAGAGGCUAAUAAACAUGAAUUUGAUUUUAAAUAGUGUGGUGUGUUCUGUGUUUUAUACAAGAUUUUAAAUGUUCCAUUAAUUUUUAACAUCCUGGCUGUAGAUAAAGCAGGCUAUUUAAUUUAUGGCAUUACAUUUAAAAUUAACAUUUAAAAAUGAUUGAAAUUCCAUUGAAAUCACGUUGAUCCUUAGUUCAGUUGAAAUUUCAACAUUGUUUCAAUAUUCCUGAUAAUUGAAAUACCAUUGAAAUUCCGUUGAUCUAUGGACAGAAUUUCAACAUUGUUUCAAUAUUAAAUCAGGGUGCAAAAUGAUGUUGGAUCAACAUCAGAGUUCGAUGUUGAU